GGGAGGAGGGACUCGUGGGUCCCUGAAAGCGGGAUGAGCAUGGCCAGGGCCAGUCUGUGGCAUCUGUUGCUGUCUCCUAGGGAGACCUUCUUUCUGCAGAGUGGGGCCUCCACAGUCUGCACAGCUCGGCUCCCCAUUCUCUCGUGAAGGUAGGCCAGGAACUGGGUUUCCUAAUGAGUGACCAGGAAAACGGAACUUUCAAGGGGCGUGUCUGUUUAAUGAGGAAUCAGCCUGAAUGGAAGCCAACCCAGUGCCUUUCCAGGUACAAGCUGUUGUCAUGAAGCCUGGAGUUUUUCCGAGAUGCCAGAGGCAGCAGCGCAGUGCUCUUGUUUCUCAUCUAAACCUGUCCCUUUCUCAGAACAGAGCCCGCGUGUGUGAUUCCUUCGUGGUCCCAGAGCGGGUCAUCUUGCUUGCAGGGUAGCCUUGGGGCACCACUGCUUGUCAGGGUUGAGCAGAAAGGCAGACCAGAAUCCUCUGAGUCCCCCUCCCACUUCCAGCUGGUUGACUGACAUUCCACCCGACCAGAAGGAACCAGAGGAGGAAGAAGGCCUGAGAAACUGGAGGGAGGCUGCUCAGGCGGUUCUGUAGAAUGUUCUAGAAUACCUAGAAAAAAAAAAAUAAAGCACCCAACAGGCUGAAGCAAGGAAAUUACUGUAGGUAGUGAGUUCUUGGCCAGCAUGGGCUACAUGGGUGUAACUCUGCAUAGAAUAACCAACCAACCAACCAACCACCAAGGCUGGAAAACUGGCUUGGCAGUUAAGGGCAAGUCCUGCUCUUGGAGAGGACCC
rnacentral:lncRNA from 1 species